rnacentral:rRNA from 1 species
UACGUAGGGCGCAAGCGUUGUCCGGAAUUAUUGGGCGUAAAGAGCUCGUAGGCGGUCUGUCGCGUCUGCCGUGAAAACCCGAGGCUUAACCUCGGGCUGGCGGUGGAUACGGGCAGGCUAGAGUUCGGUAGGGGAGACUGGAAUUCCUGGUGUAGCGGUGAAAUGCGCAGAUAUCAGGAGGAACACCGGUGGCGAAGGCGGGUCUCUGGGCCGAUACUGACGCUGAGGAGCGAAAGCGUGGGGAGCGAACAGG